AGCAGCCGCGGUAAUUCCAGCUCCAAUAGCGUAUAUUAAAGUUGUUGCAGUUAAAAAGCUCGUAGUUGAAUUUCGAGAUCAAAUUGUUGGUCGUGCCUUGGUACGCACUGGCAUUAUUGGUUUCUCCCUUCUGACGAAUCAUGAUGUCAUUAAUUUGGUGUCUUGGGGAAUCAGGACUGUUACUUUGAAAAAAUUAGAGUGUUUAAAGCAGGCUCACGCUUGAAUACAUUAGCAUGGAAUAAUGAAAUAGGACGUUUGAUUCUAUUUUGUUGGUUUCUAGGAUCGACGUAAUGAUUAAUAGGGAUAGUUGGGGGCAUUAGUAUUCAAUUGUCAGAGGUGAAAUUCUUGGAUUUAUUGAAGACUAACUACUGCGAAAGCAUUUGCCAAGGAUGUUUUCAUUAAUCAAGAACGAAAGUUAGGGGAUCGAAGACGAUCAGAUACUGUCGUAGUCUUAACCAUAAACUAUGCCGACUAGGGAUCGGAUGAUGUUAAUUUUUUAAUGACUCAUUCGGCGCCUUAU
rnacentral:misc_RNA from 1 species